GGGCGAUUAGCUCAGUCGGUUAGAGCGCCUGCCUCACAUGCAGGAGGUCGUUGGUUCGAGUCCAAUAUCGCCCACAA
rnacentral:tRNA from 1 species